rnacentral:lncRNA from 1 species
CAUGCUCUGCUCUUCAUGCAACCUUCAAUCUUAAAGUUAAAGGAAAAAAUUUACAUAACCUCACUUGUAAGUUAUAAUGCACAACAAAGCUAAUGUAAACAAAACGAAAUUUUACACUCAUAUGAAAUUUCGAAGGCGUGGUUUUCUUCAGUACAACUCCAUCCAAAGUUAGUAAACAUGCUUAAAGUUCUCAACCAACGUGCAUACCUUUUACUCCCUCCGUUCCUAAAUAUAAGUCUUUUAAAAGAUUUCACUAGGGGUCUACAUACGGAGCGAAAUGGAUGAAUAUACACUCUAAAGUAUGUCUAUAUACAUCCGUAUAUAGUUAACUAAUGAAACCUCUAAAAAGACUUAUAUUUAGAAACGGAGGAAGUAGUCGACAAUGAAAAAUCAUGUGUUAGGAAAACAAAAGACGGACGUUAGGGCAAGGCUACCUCGCCAGCAAUGGUUAGUGCGGUAAGGAUAAUCGGAUGUGAACUAGCUUGCUCUGCUUGCGGAGAAAAACCAACCAAGAGGCGAUGGAACACUCGGAAAACUGCUAAUAUUGCCCCGGGCAGUACUGGCCAUAGACUUGAGCGCAAAGGACAAGAAGGCAGGAGCUGGUAGGCAAUUCUGCACAAAUGCUAGGUGCACGAAUGCUAGCGAGUACAGUGGGACAGUAACCUAAUAUUAGCAUCAAGAAUUAAAAAUUCCCAUAAAGGACAAUAUUGUGAUCCCCAUGUUUGUUUUUUAACGGGAUCAAUGACGACUAACCUUGUUUCCCUUUGGUUAAAGUACCCACACAAUUUGACGUUGAUGAACUCUUGGAUGGGCAAUAUACAGUGUAAUGUGUGUAGUCAAACAAAACUUGUGUUCUUUUUAGCCUGUGGCACAAAAUUUGCAAUAUCAGCAAAAGGGGCUCUCUUCCAUGGAUUUUGUUUGGCAUCAAAAG